CUAACGAUACUCCUGUCCGGCCAUAAAGUCGAGCGUUGAAGCGGCACUGUAUAUGCUGUGAUCCGUCGCAACAAGUGGGGGCAGCUCGGAGCGAUCCUCGGAGGGGUGAGAUUCCCGUGG
rnacentral:ncRNA from 1 species